rnacentral:rRNA from 1 species
AAAUUGAAGAGUUUGAUCAUGGCUCAGAUUGAACGCUGGCGGCAGGCCUAACACAUGCAAGUCGAGCGGUAGCACAGAGAGCUUGCUCUCGGGUGACGAGCGGCGGACGGGUGAGUAAUGUCUGGGAAACUGCCUGAUGGAGGGGGAUAACUACUGGAAACGGUAGCUAAUACCGCAUAACGUCGCAAGACCAAAGUGGGGGACCUUCGGGCCUCAUGCCAUCAGAUGUGCCCAGAUGGGAUUAGCUAGUAGGUGGGGUAACGGCUCACCUAGGCGACGAUCCCUAGCUGGUCUGAGAGGAUGACCAGCCACACUGGAACUGAGACACGGUCCAGACUCCUACGGGAGGCAGCAGUGGGGAAUAUUGCACAAUGGGCGCAAGCCUGAUGCAGCCAUGCCGCGUGUGUGAAGAAGGCCUUCGGGUUGUAAAGCACUUUCAGCGGGGAGGAAGGCGUUAAGGUUAAUAACCUCAUCGAUUGACGUUACCCGCAGAAGAAGCACCGGCUAACUCCGUGCCAGCAGCCGCGGUAAUACGGAGGGUGCAAGCGUUAAUCGGAAUUACUGGGCGUAAAGCGCACGCAGGCGGUCUGUCAAGUCGGAUGUGAAAUCCCCGGGCUCAACCUGGGAACUGCAUUCGAAACUGGCAGGCUAGAGUCUUGUAGAGGGGGGUAGAAUUCCAGGUGUAGCGGUGAAAUGCGUAGAGAUCUGGAGGAAUACCGGUGGCGAAGGCGGCCCCUGGACAAAGACUGACGCUCAGGUGCGAAAGCGUGGGGAGCAAACAGGAUUAGAUACCCUGGUAGUCCACGCCGUAAACGAUGUCGAUUUGGAGGUUGUGCCCUUGAGGCGUGGCUUCCGGAGCUAACGCGUUAAAUCGACCGCCUGGGGAGUACGGCCGCAAGGUUAAAACUCAAAUGAAUUGACGGGGCCCGCACAAGCGGUGGAGCAUGUGGUUUAAUUCGAUGCAACGCGAAGAACCUUACCUGGUCUUGACAUCCACAGAACUUAGCAGAGAUGCUUUGGUGCCUUCGGGAACUGUGAGACAGGUGCUGCAUGGCUGUCGUCAGCUCGUGUUGUGAAAUGUUGGGUUAAGUCCCGCAACGAGCGCAACCCUUAUCCUUUGUUGCCAGCGGUCCGGCCGGGAACUCAAAGGAGACUGCCAGUGAUAAACUGGAGGAAGGUGGGGAUGACGUCAAGUCAUCAUGGCCCUUACGACCAGGGCUACACACGUGCUACAAUGGCAUAUACAAAGAGAAGCGACCUCGCGAGAGCAAGCGGACCUCAUAAAGUAUGUCGUAGUCCGGAUUGGAGUCUGCAACUCGACUCCAUGAAGUCGGAAUCGCUAGUAAUCGUAGAUCAGAAUGCUACGGUGAAUACGUUCCCGGGCCUUGUACACACCGCCCGUCACACCAUGGGAGUGGGUUGCAAAAGAAGUAGGUAGCUUAACCUUCGGGAGGGCGCUUACCACUUUGUGAUUCAUGACUGGGGUGAAGUCGUAACAAGGUAACCGUAGGGGAACCUGCGGUUGGAUCACCUCCUUACCUUAAAGAA